GGAGGGUAUCCGAAUGGUGAGGGGUCUGAUUCGAAAUCAGAUGCCGGCUUUGCCGGUUGCGGGUUCGACUCCCGUGCCCUCCG
rnacentral:tRNA from 1 species